UGUGUAGGCGGUUCUCUAAGUUUGGUGUGAAAUCUCCCGGCUCAACUGGGAGGGUGCGCCGAAUACUGAAGGACUAGAGUGCGGGAGAGGAGAGUGGAAUUCCUGGUGUAGCGGUGAAAUGCGUAGAUAUCAGGAGGAACACCGGUGGUGUAGGCGGCUCUCUGGACCGUAACUGACGCUGAAACACGAAAGCGUGGGUAGCAAACAGGAUUAGAUACCCUGGUAGUCCACGCCCUAAACGAUGCAUAUUUGGUGUGGGUCAUUCAGUUGAUCCGUGCCGGAGCUAACGCGUUAAAUAUGCCGCCUGGGGAGUACAGUCGCAAGGCUGAA
rnacentral:rRNA from 1 species